GGCAAAGGGAAUAAACCUACUCAAGAAUAUAUGUUGUUUUGGAGGUUAUAGGGCACAAAUGGAAUAUACUAUAUAUCUAAGAAAUAUAAGGGGGGAAAGGUCUCCAGGGGGUGGGAGUGCACUGUAAUAUGUGUUUUUUCCCCUUUUUCUUUUGUCUUUCUUUUUUGUAUCCAGUUUAUAUGUACUGUUUGUAUUAUUUAUUUGUUUGUUCUCUCGGGAACAGCAGAGGUUUCAUGCCACCAUGAGGACUAGAAACCUUGCUGAUUUGAGGAUUAGAAAUCGCAGUUUGUGGAAAAAGGAAAUUAUGGUGUUGUUUGAGAGAGGAGUGGUGGCAGCAAAAUAUAAAUGCAUUUCCGGCUGCGCUCAGUAGAUGAAAGCAGAUGUGGUCACUUCAAAAAAAAGAAGAAGUUUACCUUGGUCUCCAGGAUCUUCAAGGCGAUUGCAAAGCCUCUGUGGCUUGGGAUGCAGCUGACUGUAUGGAAGAAGUCUUUCGUCAGUGUGGCCAUCACAUCAACCCGGACCUUAUCAGCAGCCAGCUGCUCUUCAAAGUAAUCAAAAACAUAUCCAGAAAGUCCUCCGAGACCAAGCAAUGACACCUCUCCUCCAGCUGAUCUUUGGGGAAAGCGAGCCUUUCUAUGAUAUGGGAAAAACAAAAUAAUUAGAUACUUUCUAUUGUAUUAGAAAUGUUAGU